rnacentral:rRNA from 1 species
UACAGAGGGUGCGAGCGUUGUCCGGAAUCACUGGGCGUAAAGGGCGCGUAGGUGGUGGCUUAAGCGUGCGGUGAAAGCUCGGGGCUCAACCCCGAGUCGGCCGUGCGAACUGGGCUCACUGGAGCAUAGUAGAGGCAGGUGGAAUUCCGGGUGUAGCGGUGGAAUGCGUAGAGAUCCGGAAGAACACCGGUGGCGAAGGCGGCCUGCUGGGCUAUGGCUGACACUGAGGAGCGGAAAGCGUGGGGAGCGAACAGG